UCCUGUGCCAGGGAGCGGGAGCGGCACAGUCUCCCAAGGCCAGCAGACUUGUUGAGGCCAUCCUGCUGGAACUGUGCCGCACGCACCACGAGGGGAAUAUGAUCGCCGGGGUCCGCGUCCAUCGCUGGGGUGCCGUCUUGAGGGACUACAAGCUAAUCAGGGACAAUGUCCUCUACAGCCCUACCCUCAUGGCGAGCACCCACAUCCAGCUUUACGGGAUAAAUCAGCGGACCCUUACGCGAAGGAUGUGGGCAUACCACCUCAGCUGCCCUGCCUGUGGGGGCAAGCUGAUGGGCGCUGGACUGUACAAGACCGUCCGGAGGGUCUUGUACAGGAACGGCUGGUACUUCAUGGCCACCGAGUGCCUGGAGUGCCGUUCCUGUCACAGGAAGGUGGCGGGCUGGUCGCAGGGCAUCUUGGAUUAGCUGGACAUAGCGCACCGUGAGCAAUUUCCAGCUGUUCUCACGUACAAGUUGUCCUUCGACAGGGUGGUGAUCGGGAAGAUGAAGGCAACAGUGCGUCUCGCCUCCGUUCCUUCUUGGUGGAGCAGCACACCAGGGAGUGGAUGGCACGGUCGAUCCAGUACCUUUCCGUGCUCCGCAAGCUUCGGGUGCAACACCUGCAUUAGAGAUAAGAAUGGAAGGGCGAAAAGCUGCAGAAAAAACCAAGCACUCCAAACCUCUAGCAUAAGGACGAGAGCAGCACCUCCACCACCUGCUACAUCUGCGGUGAAGCCCGAACCCUUGAGGGCCGCCAUGCAGCCCUUGAAGACGGCCCUGGAGGGCGUACAGCUGAGCAGUGGCUGCUGGAGCAGCAGCAGCAGCAGGAGCAGGAGGAAGAUCCAGACGCAGAGGGUCCAGGGAGAAGGAGAGAAAGAGAGAAAGCCCAACAAGCCCAAAGUCUGCUAGCUGUGUGGCCAGCCACAGCAGAAAGUCUAGGGCCACAGUCAGAUCCGUGGAGAGCACUUUUGUGAUUUUUUUAUUUUUAUAUAUAUAUACUUGUUUUUGUAAGUAUAUUGUGUUUAUUAUUAAAAUUUUGCUGGCUUUUUCCAAAAAGUAUGACUUUUUUUUUUUGUUCUUUCUAUACCGAUUCACAGUGUGUUUGCCUAGCCGGUUCCUGCCAUUGUUUCGAGGUACUAAAUCGGCACAUUAGCGCUGACUCAGCUUUGUUUGAUGGCUUGUGACCAUCCAUCUUCCUCUUGAUCACAUUCCAGAGGUUUUCAAUGGGAUUCAGGUCUGGAGAUUGGGCUGGCUAUAACAGGGUCCUGAUCUGGUGGUCCUUCAUUCAAGUUGUCCUGGAAGAAAACUUGCUUCCCUCUGCUCUGACAAUGUUCCCCAACUCUAAGGAGUGUUUUUUCCAGCAGGACAAUGCUCCAUGCCAUACAGCUAGGUCAGUAUAGGUGUGGAUGAAGGACCACCAGAUCAGGACCCUGUCAUGGCCAGCCCAAUCUCCUGACCUGAAUCCUAUUGUUAAAAUAAUAAGUUAAAACAUUAGUAUUGUGUUGUUUAAAAAUGAAUAUGAACUUGUUUUCUUUGCAUUAUUCGAGAUCUGAAAACACUGCAUCUUUAUUGUUACUAUAUGUACUAGCUGUUAUUGGUACAUCAGGACUGGAUUACCAACUUUGUGUUAGUGUGGGUAAAUAUUUGAAAGCUAAUGUAACUCGUUUGCCCUUCACUCAAAUCGAGCUGUAUUUUCGGAAGAUUUAAAAAGCUCUUAAGUGCCUUAACAUUUUGUAACAUUUGUGUCUAUGUGUUUUAAUUAGGUGAGGAGCUAGGUAUUAAUUAGGUGAGGAGCUAGGUAUUAAGUGUUUCCUCAUUUUAUGAAUCAAACACAAUAAAGGAUGAUGUUCAAACUGG